UGUGGCUCAGUGGUAGAGCGCUUGCCUAGCAUGUAUGAGGCACUGGGUUCAAUUCUCAGCA
rnacentral:tRNA from 1 species